ensembl:lncRNA
UUCUCUUUUGGUUUAUUACUAUUUAAAAAUCAGGUUUUGUAUCCCCUUCUACAGAGGCUUCACCUUCCAACAGAACAUACAAAAAAUACACACAAUAGAAAAAAAAAGAUAGGUAGGUAAGUUGCUUUAUACAAACAGGUCCCUAAGAACCCAAAAAGGCUAAAACAGGCUCGGUUUCAAUAGAAGCAGGCCCAUAAAUAGGCAAGAGACUUCAUUCAAGUAGGGAAAGAGUCAUCCAUCCUCACCUAAGAUCCUUUCUUGCUCCACUGAAGACAAUGGGAGGAUUCCCAGCAACUUCAGUAGAAGCAGGACUGGGAUUCAUCAGAGCCAAUGGCAAACUUUUCUGCUCCUUCCCUUCCAAGGCACUGUCUCUUCCAUAUGGCGUGCAGCCAGGAAAAAAUACCAGUUUUCCUGGCUCAUCCCACACUCAUAUUUCAGUUGUUCACUCUACAAGACAUCUAAGAACAGCCUUUUAUUUUCUCUCUUAUUCUCAUAUUUGCACUAAUUGCAGCAAACUUUCAGAUUACAACAGUACCGAAGAGAAAUUCUGAGCCCAAGAGCAAGGCUUGGUUGAUUCCUUAAGAGCCAGCAGUCAGUCUGACAGCUUUGCAGAGGGCAUGUAAAAUUUGCCUGGAGAAGGCACAAGUUUGUAGACACAGCAGCCAGAAAGGUAUUAGCAAGCAUGAGAUUGAUUUAUUAUAAAAUCACUUACCCAAGGUCACUAUGUAACUGCAGGAUGCUCAAGAGCAUUUAUGGCUGCCAGUGGCUGCAUGAAGUGACUCCAUGGCCCACACGGAACACAGGAGCUGGGAGGGAGUCACUGGAACAUCACUGAGACUCCAGUUACCGCUCUCCUUUAGCAUAUCUCAGCUCAGAGCACUUCCAGGUCUCCAAAACUGCAGCACAAGUAUGGAGGCCACCCAGGAAAAGCUUCGUUCACAUAAACCCUGAGAGCAGAUCAACAGUGCCAGGCAGUCUUUAAAUAAAUUUAAGUAUCACACCUUUCAGGAAAAAUGUGGCCAAAUGUUUGUUUAACUUUACAUUACAUCUGAAGUCAGUGAGGCCAAACAUUUGUGACAGAGUUCAGCAGCAUAACUGUGCAGCACAAUUUGGUACAUCAAUUAAAUAUUGGCACGUUCUUACCCAAAGGUUAUCAUCAUCUCAUCUUACAGACAGGAACACAACACAGGAAGAGGCUAGAAAUGACACAGAGUGUUAAUUCUUGGUGAACAGGCCAUCACUGCCGGCCACCACAGAGUGCACAGUUGUGGUUUUUCACUGAGGUGCCAUAACCAUUCCAACCAUCACCACAACUCCUCCUCCUCCUGGGCUGCAUCACUCUGCAGUUAUGUCAUAGCACUCUUUUAAAGUGCUGCUUUCUCUUUUUUCUUCUUAGCCAAAUAGCUCCUGCUUUGUUUUACAGCCAACAGCUAUUUGCAGAGGUGCACACAUCCAAGGAGGCACCACACUGCACAGGACGUGUGGAGGGUGAGGAUCAAAGCAGCAGGCACACAACACUUUGCCAGUGCUGGUGCUGACUCUGUAGCAGUACCUGUGGCUGCAGCCCAGGAGCACUGCCUGCCCCCCCUCUCUGCAUCCCAGACUCAGUCCUCUGGAACAUGCUGCCUUCUCACAGGCACAGGGAGCUGCAGCAGAUUGGGCUGGAAGCCAAAUCUGUUCCCAAGGGCUCAUUCACAACAGCUGAAGGAUCUUGUUUUGAAAAGGAUGUUCAGGAUGAAAAAACAUGGCUCUUUCAAGAGACACUGGAGCCUUCCAGAACUUCUUUUCCUAGUGGGUUUAUUUUUUUCCCCCUCUUUGCUCAUUUGUUUUGUCUCUCAGGGUAGAACUGAGAUUUACUCAGAGCUUCUGUGAGCUUCUCAGAGAUUCACUAUGAGCUUCUGCUCUGGUCAAAUAAAACUCAGCUAUUGUGCCCAAGAAAAAGAUGAGCAGUACAAAGCUGGCUUAAUUUACAUUUGGGUAUUGACAAUGCUGUUAAGGUAAAAUCAUAAUGCUGAAAAAGCCAGCACAUUGUGUUGUUUAGUUCUUGCUCUCAGAUUUUAUACCAUGGUGAUGAUUAAAAAUAUUUUAUUUUUUUUGUGGGUGGUAAAGAAAAACCUUUCCUGUUUCAUUACUUAAAAUUUUGGUGGCUGUUUUUUACUUUGUCCAUUUAUCUCUCAUGAAACCCAAGGAGAGCUCUUGCUCUCCAUUCAUUCUUCCAACACUGAAGUCCUUUGAAGUUUACUUUGGCAUCUACUUCCUCAAGCAAGCACCUUAAAAAAAAUUAAAGCUGAAAGUGGUAUCCCACUCCCGACUCAAGACAUAAGUUUAGAUAUUGAAUUCUAGGAACAAAGAUUUAGUGAAAAAACAAGACACUAAAGUUACAACAGAGCCUACAAAAUCUAGGUUAGCUUUCAUACUAGCAAUUCAAUUAGUUGAGUUAUAGACAUUCAGUUACACAGCUCUUCUAUUCAAGUCAUUCCUUACUGCUGACAGCAGUUGAGGGAGGAACAGUAAUUUCAGGGAAUACAUGGGAAAUAACAAAUAUUCCCUAAGUCACUGGCACUCAAACAGGUCUCAAAUUGUGACUGGGCAUUUACAAUUAUUCAAAAGAUUGGUAGGAAGACCAACUCCACACCAUCUUAAUAGUUCUAGGCUUUAAAAACAAACAAAAAAGAAACCCAUUCCCCCGAUAUAUAAUACUUUGCCCUACUAUAAUUAAGGCACUGGAUUGAGAGAAGGAAAAAUCUGUGUUCAAUUUCUGGUUCUGCUAUCGAUUUCCCGUAUCAUCAUGGGCAAAUCACUCAGGACUGAGAGCUCACGUGCACAUUGCCAUGUGUCAGGUGAGCCACACUGUUUGCACACAUUUAAGACAUGACAAAUGCAAAGUCAUGUUACCUAAUUUAACUCAGCGUGGAAAAAAUCACAUUAAAUUGCUUUACCUUGCAUUUGUUCUGGAUUCACAUUUAUAAAUUCAGGCAACAAAAUAAGCCUGAGAAGUUUGUGCCCCCACAUUUAAGACAACACUUAAGCAUGCAUGUAAGUGGUUUUUAGUCCUUUAUCUUUCAUUCAUUCUCUUAUAAGCAUGUAUUCCUUUCUGUCUUUAAUAUUUCGAUUAUGAAUGAUCAAAGAUGUUUUCUUCGUACCUAAUACACAAGGCUUGAGCCUCAGAUGAGAGGUUAUGAGACUCCUAUAAUACAAACAAGUACUACAAGUCUGAUUAUAUAAAUUUGCAUGAACUGAAGUUUCCUUCUUGACAUGUGCACCAACUCAAACAUUGGCUCGCAGUCCCUCCAAAGGGGAAGGCAAGGAAGGGAGGGUGGCCCAAAUCAGAACUAUCAUCUACACACCAAUUAAAAAUAAAAUGUAAUAGCAACAAGCUACAGCUCAAGGCAUGUUACAUACUUCCCUUUGAACUCUGAACUUGAGAGGCUGAGUUUUCUGUUUGGAUCUGUCUCAUAUUCUAUAAGAAACAGGCAUUUCCCAAAGUACAGAAUACAAAGAAUUUGCAUGUAGAUUAAAUUACUGUCCAAAAUAGAACAGUAUGCCCCUAAAGAAGCAAAAAGCACUGAAAACACACCACAGCUAAAGAUCUGUCCAACUUCCUACUGGCACUAGCCUGCACCAGCCUCCUGUGUUGGUACAAAUCUCUCCCAUUUACACUAGGAUGAUCUAGAGCUGUCAUUUCAGGAUUGUUAACCUCCUGCCUAAUUGUUUCCCUGUCUGCUAGACUGAGAAGCAAGUAGUUUUUAUUCAAUGUUUUCAUGACAACUUAGUAAGCAUUUUCUUUGACAAGCAGAAUACACAGUGUUUUCGAAGGCUUUGUUUUCAAAUAAAGGCUUUUGUUUCACCAGGUCAAAUUCUGUAGCAUUCAAAAUUAAAUUCUGAUAGGUGCAGCCAAAAUUCAACCCACUUGUAACACUAAAAUCAAUGUAGGAUGAAAGUAUUCUAUACUCUGGACUUAGCUUUUGGAGUUGAAUUUUAUGAUUAAUGCACCUUCUUUGAGUGCAUAUAGGAACACUGGGGACAAAAACUUCUGUCUUUCAGCAUACAGCCUCAGUUCAACAGAAAUUUUCCUUGUGGAUUAAUUAUGAGCUAUUACUAAAUCAGUGACUGCAGCUGCAUUUGCUAAUCCCAACAAAUUGUUUUGCUGACUGGAAGGCCUGCUCUCUCCUGAUUUGCUUGGCAGCUUAUAAGGUUGUCUCAGCACUAGAUUUGUAAGGUAUUUUUAAAUGUUUUCUCACUUUUCUAAGAUGUUCUGGUUUUACCUGUCUACUAAUCUUACCAGUACAAGAGCAAUUCCAUGAAGCUUUAGUAGUGGGGUUUGUUUCACUGGUUUUUCCUUUAAAAUGAGGCUCACACCUAUUCCAGGAUUCUGGGAGGAGAUGACUGGAGAAGAACAUGUCCUUCAGUCUCCCAACACAGAUUAAUAGCAAAACAUCAAGUCCACUGCAACAUGCUCUCAAUUUAGAAAGUGCUGGUGCUAUAAAGAGAAAGCCAUUGAUUAUUCAUCCUUGAUUUAUAAGUCGAGAGCAAGUACAAAAAGUAGCUUCUUACAAGAAGGAAUCUGGGUCUUCUAACUCUGUAGAAUUUAGAAUGUAAUUCCAAAAUCCAUAUACUUACAAAGGCCUCUCUUAAUUCUAAAGUAAAAACAAAUUGGGAAUAUCAGUUAAGCAUCAGCUGCAGGGUUUGGACAGAAGCACCUGGGCAGUGCAGGCUGUGGUACAACACCACUUUGUGUCUCUGUGCAUUACACAGACAGAUCUCCUGCAGCAAACGAGAACCUGGCCCAAGAGGGUCCGUCCUGCUCCAGCACUGUAUUAAUGAUGGAGAUAGAUAUUGUUUCAUGGGAUGCAAGUUCAGUGCAGGACAUGGGCUCUUCAGAAUGGCCUUUUUAGAAGCAUUCAAUACACAAAGGAGUUUACCAAAUCACUACUUAAACCUUUGCUCAGUAACUCUCCCAACAAUUGUGAUGUAGAGAAGAUUCUUCACAGAUAUGAAAAUAAGGAAUAAAUUCAGGUAACUGUUCUAUGUGACUUUGAGCAUCAACAGCAGAACCAUAAUUAAAACUCAGAGUAUUCCUAACUCCUAACCCUGUGUUAAACAACAUUUAUACCUGGGUUUGGUACAUAAAACCAUGAGUAGUUACAUGGAAGGAAAAUGAGGGUCGAGAAAUUACAUUAUUUCUGCAUAAGCGGUAUUUUCAGAUUAAAUGGAAUGUCCAACAGCCUGAAGUGCAGCUUCUUUGCAUUUUGUAAUAAAAUCUUUUUCAAAUAUAUGCUGUUUGCAAUUUCUUUUCAUUUGGAAAAGAAAGGAGUAACAGUGGCUUUUGCAAACCUGACUAGAGACAAAUCAGGAGAGCAUGACUGGCCAAAAAGCCCUGCUCACUGAGAAUACAGCACAGUGCAGUAUGGGAUUCACAUAUUAUUUACUGGCUCUCAUUUGCACACCUUUUGGACAGGUGGCUAA